ACCCCAAAGCUGAUUAGACUGACGAUUGAACACAAAGCUGGUUUGGCAGACGAUGCAUGAUCACAAUGCAGAUUAAAAAUUUGCAGAGAGAAUGUCAAUUGGCUUAAAAAAAGAUUUAACAUCAACCCCUGGAUUUCUUUUAAGGAUACAGAAGUACAGGAGAUGCUCAGCAAUCUGGCAUAGAAGGCUGGCUGGACAUGAAAUGUUAUGGGAGUUAUGUCUAGCUUUGGAUCCACUGAAUUCACAUAUUACAGAAAUCAGAUCAGAGCAAAGCUGAUGGGUAACAAAGAAGUUGAUGUAGAGGGUCCCUCCAUUAAGUCUCUACAUAAUUAUCGAUGAAAAUGUUUCCUUCCUCCUACAAUUAUGCUAACAAAUCCAGAGAGGGAAUACUUCACACUGAUGCUAGUAUGAUGCUAGUAUG